AUUCCCCUAGUAACUGCGAGUGAAGCGGGAAAAGCUCAAAUUUAAAAUCUGGUGGUCUUCUGGCCAUCCGAGUUGUAAUUUAGAGAAGCGUCUUCCGCGCUGGACCGUGCAUAAGUCUCCUGGAAUGGAGCGUCAUAGAGGGUGAGAAUCCCGUCUUUGGCAUGGAUCCCAGGGCUUCUGUGAUGCGCUCUCAAAGAGUCGAGUUGUUUGGGAAUGCAGCUCAAAAUGGGUGGUGAACUCCAUCUAAAGCUAAAUAUUGGCGAGAGACCGAUAGCGAACAAGUACCGUGAGGGAAAGAUGAAAAGCACUUUGGAAAGAGAGUGAAACAGUACGUGAAAUUGUUGAAAGGGAAACGCUUGAAGUCAGUCGCGUCGACCGAGACUCAGCCUCGCCUUGGCUUGGUGUACUUCUCGGCUGACGGGUCAUCAUCAAUUUUGAUCCUUGGAUAAUGGCAAGGGAAAGGUAGCACCUUUACAGGUGUGUUAUAGUCCUCUGUCGGAUGCAAGGGUCGGGAUUGAGGAACUCAGCACGCACCAAUUGUUGGUGUCGGGGCCUUGGCCUACGUUACGUGCUUAGGAUGCUGGCAUAAUGGCUUUAAACGACCCGUCUUGAAACACGGACCAAGGAGUCUAACAUGCCCGCGAGUGUUCGGGUGGAAAACCCGUGCGCGUAAUGAAAGUAAAAGUUGGGACCUCUGUCGUGGAGGGCACCGACGCCCGGACCAGACCUUCUGUGACGGCUCUGCGGUAGAGCGUGUAUGUUGGGACCCGAAAGAUGGUGAACUAUGCCUGAAUAGGGUGAAGCCAGAGGAAACUCUGGUGGAGGCUCGUAGCGAUUCUGACGUGCAAAUCGAUCGUCAAAUUUGGGUAUAGGGGCGAAAGAC
rnacentral:rRNA from 1 species